rnacentral:sRNA from 1 species
UCCAGUUGUGAAACUCGUUGUGAUGU